ACAGGUGACUGGGAGCACUAACCUGCUGGUUCGGACUAUUAAGUCUCUGCUACUGCCUGGGCUGCUCCUGGGAAGACCUGUCACCAGACAUGCAGUCAAAAACUGUCAUCCCAGAUCCUCUGACCUCCACCACUGUGCCGCAGGUCUUGAGGCUGAAGCUGAGGUUGAUGUGUGUGCCAUUGGAGACGCCACGGCAAGAUGAGUUGGACAGAGAGAGCUCCAGUCCUCCUACGAGAUCCUUAGGAACUGACACUGUGAUAGAGCUGGGAUCACACUGGACCGGCACUGCAGGGAGAUGCACGGAGGAUAUGACAUACUGUAUUCUCACUGUACCACAAAAUAACACAAAUUGUGACAAAGCAACAAAAAGCAGCUUAAAAGUCAGCCCUCAAUGUGAUUUCCUGAAAACAUACAUCGCAGCAUGCUUGUAGUCUAAUGACAUAGAAGACAGUAAAACUAAGAGACUGUGACAGCAAAGGAUGAUCUGGAUUGUAUUUUUUUUUUCCAGAGAUUAUAUCUGAUCAGUCCAUUAGCCUGAACUUUCAAUACUGAAUCAAUAUAAGGAUUCAGGAGACCUAGAGGGCCUUUUAUGUUUUCAAGUACUGUCUUUUUUAAAGCCACUGUACAUUUAAACCAUUUCUGACUUUCCAGCAGUAGUAGCUGUACAGUAUUGAUUAAUUAACGCUCAAUUGCUGAUUUCUAUUUGAACAAAAACACCAAUAUUUACAGACUCCAACUUCUGACUUGUGAUAGUUUGCUGCUUUUCAAAGUUUGACAUGAUUGAAAUUUUAAAAAGAGAUGAAAUCAUAAGUUGUUCAAUUGAUCCCAUUGAAACAAAAUUAAAUGGCAAAAAUGUUCUUAGAUUGAUUAUUAAAGUAAUUUCCAAACUAGA